rnacentral:lncRNA from 1 species
CUCUAGGCGUCUCCUCUCUCUAUGCAUGGAGAUUGUUGUCACCCAACCCUUGGACAUUGGCCCCUUCUUUAUAGACCCAAAACCCUCAUGGAAACCCAACUCCUGGGCAUCCACAAAUCUUGAUUUCAAUUAGGAGUCAAACUCCUAAGCCAGUCCAACACCUAGGCAUGUGGACUUUCUAUACCUGAUGCCCGACCUUUAGGCAUCAACACACAAAGGCAUGAAGCCUUUCUAGCAUGG